rfam:Colletotrichum gloeosporioides Nara gc5 unplaced genomic scaffold scaffold606, whole genome shotgun sequence.
GGUCUGGUGGUGUAGUUGGUUAUCACGUCAGUCUAACAGGUCGAGCGCUUCUCCGAAUGCCCUCGCCUGGCACACUGAAGGUCUCCGGUUCAAGUCCGGGCUAGAUCA